UCCGUGUGCACCUUAGCCACGGUACAGUCCCUGAAUGCUGUAGCAUGUCCGUGUCACAUAAACAACGGAAGCUGGUGAGUGUAUUGCUGAUGUUGUUUUUUGCUUGAGAUGUAGAGCCUGCUAUCUCAGUGAUGACAUUUUGUGCUGAUAAUCAGCCCGUAGUAUUGUCACCGUCUCGUUCCAUCUAAAUGGUGUCAUCCCUUCCUCUCUCCUAUCUCACUGUUUCAUUUUGGUGGUGGCGUGGGUGUGCACCACAUUCUUGCUUAGGCCUCGGAGGUGUCUAUGUUCAUUAUGCCACUAGGUGUCCAUGUUCAUUAUGCCACUAGGUGUCCAUGUUCAUAAUGCCACUAGGUGUCCAUGUUCAUUAUGCCACUAGGUGUCCAUGUUCAUUAUGCCACUAGAUGUCCAUGUUCAUUAUGCCACUAGGUGUCCAUGUUCAUAAUGCCACUAGGUGUCCAUGUUCAUUAUGCCACUAGGUGUCCAUGUUCAUAAUGCCACUAGGUGUCCAUGUUCAUUAUGCCACUAGAUGUCCAUGUUCAUUAUGCCACUAGGUGUCCAUGUUCAUAAUGCCACUAGGUGUCCAUGUUCAUUAUGCCACUAGGUGUCCAUGUUCAUUAUGCCACUAGGUGUCCAUGUUCAUUAUGCCACUAGGUGUCCAUGUUCAUUAUGCCACUAGGUGUCCAUGUUCAUUAUGCCACUAGGUGUCCAUGUUCAUUAU